rnacentral:rRNA from 1 species
AGGAAAUUAAGUACGGAAGUUCCUGAUUUCACGCUGUCAAGAAAAGCCUCUAGGAAGAGUAGUACUGCCCGUACCGCAAACCGACACAGGUAGAUGAGGAGAGAAUCCUAAGGUGAGCGAGAGAACUCUCGUUAAGGAACUCGGCAAAAUGACCCCGUAACUUCGGGAGAAGGGGUGCUCUAUUAGGGUGCAAGCCCGAGAGAGCCGCAGUGAAUAGGCCCAGGCGACUGUUUAGCAAAAACACAGGUCUCUGCAAAACCGUAAGGUGACGUAUAGGGGCUGACGCCUGCCCGGUGCUGGAAGGUUAAGAGGAGUGCUUAGCUUCGGCGAAGGUACGAAUUGAAGCCCCAGUAAACGGCGGCCGUAACUAUAACGGUCCUAAGGUAGCGAAAUUCCUUGUCGGGUAAGUUCCGACCCGCACGAAAGGCGCAACGAUCUGGGCACUGUCUCAACGAGAGACUCGGUGAAAUUAUAGUACCUGUGAAGAUGCAGGUUACCCGCGACAGGACGGAAAGACCCCGUGGAGCUUUACUGCAACCUGAUAUGGAAUGUUUGUACCGCUUGUACAGGAUAGGUAGGAGCCGAAGAGACGUGUGCGCUAGCAUACGAGGAGGCAAUGGUGGGAUACUACCCUGGCUGUAUGACCAUUCUAACCCGCCACGCUUAGCGCGUGGGGAGACAGUGUCAGGUGGGCAGUUUGACUGGGGCGGUCGCCUCCUAAAGAGUAACGGAGGCGCCCAAAGGUUCCCUCAGAAUGGAUGGAAAUCAUUCGCAGAGUGUAAAGGCACAAGGGAGCUUGACUGCGAGACUGA